GGAUCAUAGCAGACUCUGCCUAUGGAGGCCUGGGGUCCCUUUGGCAGCACUUUUGUCAAGAAAGUAGAGUCGUGGACAACCAACUGCACAGGUUGGGAGGCUUUGAAGAACAAGCUGCCAUGAAUCCUACAGCUACAAGGAAAUGAACUCUAUUAACUUCAGUGAGCUUAAAACUAGAUCCUUCCCCAGUCAAGCCUCCAGGUGAGAAUUCAAUCCUGGCUGGCACCUGGAUUGCAGCUUACAGAAGACCCAGCUAAGGCCAUGUCUGGACUUUAAAUCCACAGGAACUGCAAGGUAACCAAUGUGUGCUAUUUUAAGCUAUUAAGUUGUGGUGAUUUGUUACACAGCAGUAGAAAGCUAAUACUGUGGAGUUUG
rnacentral:lncRNA from 1 species